UGCAUUUGAAGCCCAUGAGGAUGAGAACCUCCGGGGGCAGGGAGGUUCGACUCGAGCGAAGCGAGAGAACGUUGCGCCAGCAACGGCCCGCAGGGCGAGCCACGAAGUGGCGAGUAAUCCUCUAUCACCGACCA
rnacentral:sRNA from 2 species